UACAGGGGGUGCAAGCGUUGUUCGGAAUUAUUGGGCGUAAAGCGCGUGUAGGCGGACCACUAAGUCUGGUGUGAAAUCCCUCGGCUUAACCGAGGACGUGCAUUGGAUACUGGUGGCCUUGAGUCCUGGAGAGGGUAGCGGAAUUCCCAGUGUAGAGGUGAAAUUCGUAGAUAUUGGGAGGAACACCGGUGGCGAAGGCGGCUACCUGGGAUAACACUGACGCUCAUGCACGAAAGCGUGGGGA
rnacentral:rRNA from 1 species